CAAUAGCGUAUAUUAAAAUUGUUGCGGUUAAAAAAGCUCGUAGUUGGGUUUCUGCCGAGGACGACCGGUCCGCCCUCUGGGUGAGUAUCUGGCUUGGCCUGGGCAUCUUCUUGGAGAACGUUUCUGCACUUGACUGUGUGGUGAGGUAUCCAGGAUUUGUACUUUGAGGAAAUUAGAGUGUUUCAAGCAGGCAUACGCCUUGAAUACAUUAGCAUGGAAUAAUAAGAUAGGACCUCGGUUCUAUUUUGUUGGCUUCUAGAGCUGAGGUAAUGAUUAGUAGGGAUAGUUGGGGCAGUCGUAUUUAACUGUCGAGAGGUAAAAUUCUUGGAUUUGUUAGAGACGGACUACUGCGAAAGCAUUUGCCAAGGAUGUUUUCAUUGAUCAAGAACGAAAGUUAAGGGAUCGAAGACGAUCAGAUACC
rnacentral:rRNA from 1 species